UACGUAGGGGGCUAGCGUUGCUCGGAAUGACUGGGCGUAAAGGGCGCGUAGGCGGACGGCACAGUCAGGCGUGAAAUUCCUGGGCUCAACCUGGGGACUGCGUCUGAGACGUGUUGUCUUGAGUAUGGAAGAGGGUUGUGGAAUUUCCAGUGUAGAGGUGAAAUUCGUAGAUAUUGGAAAGAACACCGGUGGCGAAGGCGGCAACCUGGUCCAUUACUGACGCUGAGGCGCGAAAGCGUGGGGAGCAAACAGG
rnacentral:rRNA from 1 species